GAUGAACGCUGGCGGCGUGCUUAACACAUGCAAGUCGAACGAAGCAAUUUAGCGGAAGUUUUCGGAUGGAAGCUAGAUUGACUGAGUGGCGGACGGGUGAGUAACGCGUGGGUAACCUGCCUCACACUGGGGGACAACAGUUAGAAAUGACUGCUAAUACCGCAUAAGCGCACAGGACCGCAUGGUCCAGUGUGAAAAACUCCGGUGGUGUGAGAUGGACCCGCGUUUGAUUAGCUAGUUGGUGGGGUAACGGCCUACCAAGGCGACGAUCAAUAGCCGACCUGAGAGGGUGACCGGCCACAUUGGGACUGAGACACGGCCCAAACUCCUACGGGAGCAGCAGUGGGGAAUAUUGCACAAUGGGGGAAACCCUGAUGCAGCGACGCCGCGUGAGUGAAGAAGUAUUUCGGUAUGUAAAGCUCUAUCAG
rnacentral:rRNA from 1 species